rfam:Picea glauca, whole genome shotgun sequence.
GUAUAUGUCUAUAUCAUAGCGUUAAUUCAUCGAAUAUCAUUAGCACUUCGUAGUUAAGCGUGCUCGGGCUAGAAUAGUACUGGGAUGGGUGACUGCCCAGGAAGUCCUACUGUUUUGCAUGCC